UCUGUGAUUUGUGGGGGCUGCAUCAUUCCUCUCUCCAGAAGAUCUUCUCUCUUCUAAGGGCAUCAAGACAUUUUAGAGCCACUCAGCUCAGCUCCCAGCUUCCUUGAGAUCCCACGGCACCUGCAGCCCUGCUGGCCCAUUCUGCACUGCCCGCUCAUGAAGCUGUCUCUCCUUUCUUAGCCAGUAGUAAGCCUCCCCACCAGGCCCGUGGACUCCGUGGGAGGAUGGUCAUCAAAUGAAAGGAGUCCCUGGAGAAACUAUUACCUGGUCCCCACAGGAGUUAACCUGACUGCCCAAGUUCACCA
rnacentral:lncRNA from 1 species